UACAGAGGGGGCUAGCGUUGCUCGGAAUCACUGGGCGUAAAGGGUGCGUAGGCGGGUUUUUAAGUCAGGGGUGAAAUCCUGGAGCUCAACUCCAGAACUGCCUUUGAUACUGAAGAUCUUGAGUCCGGGAGAGGUGAGUGGAACUGCGAGUGUAGAGGUGAAAUUCGUAGAUAUUCGCAAGAACACCAGUGGCGAAGGCGGCUCACUGGCCCGGUACUGACGCUGAGACGCGAAAGCGUGGGGAGCAAACAGG
rnacentral:rRNA from 1 species